AUGGCGGGAGGUUUCUUUCGUAUCAAGAGUGUGUUGGGGAGGCCUGGGAAAGACGGAUUGGAUCGAGAGGCGAUGCCUACUCUACUCGUUACCACUAAACGACGAAGCCAAGAGCGGAAGGAGGGACUUGAACCCUCAACCUCAGCCUUGGCAAGGCUAUGCUCUACCAUUAAGCUAUUUCCGCCAGCUACGCGCGCUUUACUUGGAGGUUCGCGCAUCCUCUUGCUGGGAGAGGGGCUAAUGCCACUCGACUGGUUGGAGAGGGGUGAAGUGAGAGUCAGGGGAAUGGGCUUUUUCAGCUGGUGCGCUAACGCGCACUUCCGUUUUCCCUUUAUUAGUAGGGGGUCCCGUGGUUCCUAUGCCGCCGCGUUUCCCGGUCCUUUUCUUUUAGUGCUUCGACCCGAAGCGAUAGCUUCUAGCUAG